rnacentral:rRNA from 1 species
UACGGAGGGGGCGAGCGUUAUUCGGAAUUAUUGGGCGUAAAGGGCGCGUAGGCGGCCACGCACGUCCGUUGUGAAAUCGCCCGGCUCAACUGGGCGGGGUCAGCGGAUACGGUGUGGCUCGAGCAAGCUAGGGGGCAAUGGAAUUCCCGGUGUAGUGGUGGAAUGCGUAGAUAUCGGGAGGAACACCAGUGGCGAAGGCGGUUGCCUGGAGCUUUGCUGACGCUGAGGCGCGAAAGCGUGGGGAGCGAUCCGG